AGAUUGAACGCUGGCGGCAUGCCUUACACAUGCAAGUCGAACGGCAGCACGGGAGCAAUCCUGGUGGCGAGUGGCGAACGGGUGAGUAAUACAUCGGAACGUGCCCAAUCGUGGGGGAUAACGCAGCGAAAGCUGUGCUAAUACCGCAUAAGAUCUACGGAUGAAAGCAGGGGAUCGCAAGACCUUGCGCGAAUGGAGCGGCCGAUGGCAGAUUAGGUAGUUGGUGAGGUAAAGGCUCACCAAGCCUUCGAUCUGUAGCUGGUCUGAGAGGACGACCAGCCACACUGGACUGAGACACGGCCAGACUCCUACGGGAGCAGCGAGUGGGGAAUUUUGGACAAGUGGGACGAAAGCUGAUCCAGCCAUCGCCGCGUGCAGG
rnacentral:rRNA from 1 species